GCAUUCUGGGAACUGGAGUUUAGGGAUAUGUGAGGGGAACGCAGUAAAUCAUUGUUUGUGCACGUAGUCCAAUGCACAUUCGCGAUAUAUAAAUAUAUUUAGUAGUUCAUUAUAUAUACGUUGAAUAAAUAGCGACUUGCUGACCUAACGUCUUUACUAGCACGGAGGUACUACAAUUCCCAGAAUGCUGCCGCGUAAACAAACAUGGCGUCGCCCGUGCCUGAAUUACAAACAACCCACAACACAACUUUAAGACCAAGUGUUAAAACCAAUGGAAGCCUAUGGGCCCCCUAGUGGAUUUUGGUGGUAGGGCGGCUAAAAAACUCACAGACCCCUCCAAAAAUAAUGUGCUGUAUCAUGACCAAACUUGAUACAACACUUGGUGACCCUUUGUUCAUAAGGUCUAAAGUCUGGUGAAACUGAGGCUCAUGUGCACUCACUUGCUUUGACCCUCCCUCUCAGGUAGAUAUAAACGAGGAGACCCCACAGGACCAGUCACCCACUUUCUGCUAGAACAUCCGACGCAGAUUCUUUUGAUGCAGUUUUUGGAAAACCUUCUUCUUCAAUCAAGAAUGGCUUCUCAAAGCUGCAGCUUCAUUCACACAUCUGAGGCCAUCGCUGAGCUGGUGGAGAAGGCCAAGGCCAAUUCUCUGGAGAUUCUGCAGUCUGGCAUAGUCUUCAGUUCUGGCCACUUGGCAAAGAUUCACACACGCGAAAACAAAAAUGGCGGCGGCGAAAUGGGUGGACACAUUCAGAUCAAGUGGCGGAAAUAUAACUAAUGUCACAGGGUCACCAGGGCCGGAACCUCUUUUUUUGGAGUUGUUUUUUGGGUAAUGUCCGGACGCACGAACGAGGCGGAAGCGAAGCUAGAAUUGAUUGAGCGAAAUCACCGACACGUGUGAAGGAGAAAACCCUGAACGAGGAUUGGGGCGGAGAAGCAUUAAAGACGCUGACAUUGGAGAAGAGGGAGAUUGAGAGGGAGGAGAGAAACAGUGGGGUGCGAGAGAGGGGAAAGAAACAGCGGGAGAGGCAGUAAGAAGUAUAAGGACUGAGGACUGAAGGAGGAGGAGGAAUGAUUACAUCUCCAUUUACUAAGGUGUCCAUUUGAGCCCGAAUACUGCCUUAUUCAUUGAGGUUUGGAGUGAUUGCAGUGAUGUGCUGAUAUUUUCACGGGUGGACUGGAGUCUUUUGCUGUGUACACACACGAGUGUGGGAACCCCGCAGAUUGUUCGGGUGAUUGAGCUCACCUCUCUAUGAAGUCCAGUCCUGUGAGUACGAAAUACAGAGUUAGAGCUUGAUACCUUCGUCUGUCUUCUGUCCGUGCUGUAGCCAACGGAGCUGCUGAGUUGAGCUCACCUCUCUAUGUAAUCCAGUCCUGACUUACUGAGCCAAUGUGUGUUGGAGAAACACGGAAAGAGGCGUUUUAGAGCCGCUGAAUUGAGUUCGACUCCUGCUGAAAUCCAGUCUUUCCUGUGGAAAGGACUUACCGAGCCAAUGUGUGUUGGAGAAACACCGAAAGAGACUGCUUGAUUUUUAAAGGGGACAUUCUUUUAAUAAAUAAAAAGUGUAAAUUAUAUCUCCUGUUGUCCGUCCUCUUCUGUCCUGCGGGGUAGCUCCUCCUGGUGGUACGGAACCGAGUCGGGGGGAUGUACUCUUCCCCCCCUACCCGUGACACUAACAUCAUGUGUUUCAAGUUUAUUCCUGUACUCCACCGCAGACAGUCUUCUCACCCAAGACGCAAGGCACAAUGCGCUCACUCUCACGCACGUCCCAUUCACACCUCCCCUUCUACACCUCUGUUGCUCUCCUCCCACUUAUUGCAAAAACACUGUUAAGGGCAGCUUUCAACCAAUCAAUGGAAAUCCUCAGUCCUAUUGCUGCUAGACCUAUCUGCAGCGUUUGACACUGUCAAUCACCAGAUACUGCUAGCAACCCUGUCAUCUCUAGGAAUCUCAGGCACUCCUCUCCGCUGGUUCAAAUCCUACCUCUCCGGCAGAUCCUUCAGGGUUUCAUGGAGGGGCUCGCCGUCCACUGCUUACCACAUGAUCACUGGGGUCCCUCAGGGAUGAAAGAGCAUCACCUCCAGCUGAUGGCAUACUUUUACAGCUUCCUACACUCCUACACCCCAUCAAGAUCCCUCCGGUCAACCACAUCUCUCACAACAUUCAAAAAACGACUUAAACCUCAUCUCUUCUUUGAAUACUUGACAGACAAAUAGGAAAACAACUAACCCUCUCUCUCUCUUUCUCUCAACAUGUUUUGGUCUAGCUUUUAUUGAAACUCUUAACUUUGUAUUAGCACCUGUUGUAUUAUUGCUCCUGUAUGACAUCAUUGCGUAUUGCUCCUGAACUCUCUGGACGAUUUGCUGACGAAGCCAGGGCAGCUUACACCAAGCAACUGCUGGACUGUGCUGGAGAAGGCCAAGAGAGACUUCCUUGCCGUCAUUGUUGAAGGUCUUCCCGAAGAGAGCGUUUGAGGACACAAUGGCAGUGGUUAUCCUUUAACAUCUCCAGCGGCCGGGAGUGGUCGAGUAUCUUUGUAGUGUCUGCAUUGUGUAACGGCUAGGGCUGGGCGAUGUGUUGACAUUUUUUUAUGGAUAAUCGACUUUAAAAUCAUCACAAUAUCUGAUAAUAUCGGGUGUGUUUGACUUCAUGCAACGUUCGGAGACGAUCAAUCUGCGGAUACGGAUCGGGAGGGAAUUCCUUCUGGACCAGCCAAGUGUGUGCACACACACGCGCACAAACCAGUGUUGCAGUGACUUCUUUCGUCAGUUGUUUGGUGCUUACUAUGAAGGGAUCAGGCCAGAACUUCUCAACGGCCAAACACAGAAGAGAACAUGGGAUGAGGCAGAAGGACUAGACCGCUCCUUCAUUUCCAGCACAGGGAGGCCGAUCUUCAACGCCUCCAAUGACAUCAACCGGCUUCACGUCAAUUCUCUGAAAUGAACUUCUCUUAGUCCCAGGUCUUGUAAUAACAUGUUGUUUACAUAUUUCUAUUUAGAUAUGGAGUGAAGCCGGUCACCAGUCAGAUGGCGAGGAAGGUGUUUGAGACUGCCGCCAAAUCUCAGGGUGACUCAGAAAGGGAUUUCGUGGCAGAUUACCACACACAUUCCACCGCCACAGCAGACAAGCAUUACCACAUGAAGACACUGAAGGAUGUGAUAUUUGCUCGCAAACUGCUGGGCCAGCUGGCUGGUGAAUCUGGAUCUGAACCAGAAGCACAGUUUUCGAUUUCCAAAACAAAAUCAAGUCAUUGGUUGGAUUACGUGCGGAUGAUGUCACUUGCUUCCGACCUUCGUGUUGCCUUGGAUACAGGGGCGCUCUGCUCUGUCUCGGUCACUGUCAUCGUGCUCUUUGCUUUUUCGAUUGAGACAUUUUUCUCUUAAUCUUUCCCAUGUAACACCAUAAGACGGUUUAGUAAAAAUGCUCAAAAACAAUCAAACGAAGCGUCGACCCAUUCAAUUCAGUGCUGCCUUAUGUUUACGAAACUUCAGGCUCAUUCAUGUCUCCAAACUCCUCCACAUUUCACGUUAUAAUGUCAGAAUAGGUCAUUGUGUGAUUGUUUAGAAAAGGACUACGAACAAUGUGUGAUUAUGAUCGUAUUGCUUGAUCUGCCUAUGGCGACUCGUCAUUGGCUGUUGCUCUGACUAAUGUUGUGAAAGCUUAGAUAAACUAAACUUGGCUCUGUACACUGUAGUAGGCUUUGAGAGAUGUUUUUAUUGCUCUUAUGCUUUUUGUCGUCCCAGUGUUUACCCAACUUGUAAGUCGCUUUGGAUAACAGCGUCUGCUAAUUGACUUAUUGUAAAUGUAAAGAUCAGUUGUUCAAUGCAGAAAGAAAUCACGAAGACCAAGAAGCCAGCUUCAUAGAAGCUCAAUCUUUAUUUGCUCGAGCAAGCAAAGAUGAGACACACAAGAGUUUAUCUGAAGAUGUCCAACAAAUACAUAUUUGACUCCAUACUUUAUACAGAACUUUCAUGCUGUUUCUUAGAGAAUUUAGAAGCAAGUGUCCGCCAAUCAGGUUUCACAUGAUAUCACCCUUUUGUUAGCCCGUCCCUCUUCUGGGUUGUUACACUUUUAAAAGAAAAAAUAUUAGCAGGUAGUUAAACACCAUUAUGUUAUCUUCUUUACCAGACAUCUUUCUUGGGCUUAUCAGACGGUAUAUGAAGUACUGCAGUUUCAGAGUUUAACCAAACAAUGAGCUCAUGGUUAAGUGUAAUUUUCUUUGUCCGUGAGUUUGUCUGGUGUGAAAUGUGAAUUUAUUCAUGAAGUUAAUGAAUCAACUGAGUUUACUUAACAAGUGAUGAUUGAUCUUUAGUGAUGACACCUGCUGUCCAUGAUCAGAGUCCACUGAAGAAGUGAACAAGAACAGGAAAAAACAGACAGUAGCCACACAGAUUCAUGUCAUAUACAUACACAAUCAAAUAUUCUAACAAGAUACAUAUUUACAUUUCACUAAAUGAAACUCUUGACUACUUUGAACACAACUAAAGCUCUACUAAUUAUAUUCAGUGUUGCUGAUGUUUUUUUAUUGAACAAGUCAUUAAAAUUCUAAAGCUGUGUUUUAAAUGUACAUCGUGUUAAAGUAAUGCACAGUCCUGUCUUUUGAUUGAGUAGAAGCAUUAGUAUCUGUGAGAAUCUGGAUUUCGUCCUGUCCUCCACAAAUACUGCAUCUGUGUUUAUUCCAAUAUACAUCAUAUGUAUUCUUAUUAUUCACUUCUAUUCAUAAUAUUUGCUCCUUACUUUCUUGUUGUUUAACCUCGUUGAAAGUUGUAUUAUGUCUUAUGCUGUCUUAUGUUGAUAUAAGCAUCUGUUGUUCUCCAUAUCAAGGUUCCUAAUGAUGCCUAUGGACGAUUGUUUUGUUAUUGUAAUAUUAAAUAUGUAAUCAUAUCUGAUUGUUCAGGAGGAAAGACUAAACAGAAAGUCUGGUGAUUUUCCACUGUUUUGGUGGUUUUAUAUGACGCCUCCUGAGGCAAACUUAUAAGUAUUAGUCCUAAAAUAAUAAACUUUGGACUCUGAUUGAAGAAGCA